rnacentral:tRNA from 1 species
GAGGAUAUAGCUCAAGUAAUAGAGUGCAUGCCUAGCAUGCACAAGGUCCUGGGUUCAAUCCCCAGUACCUCCU